UGCGUAGGCGGCCUGUUAAGUCAGUGGUGAAAGGUAUCAGCUUAACUGAUGAGGUGCCAUUGAAACUAACAGGCUUGAGUACAGACGAGGUAGGCGGAAUUUAUGGUGUAGCGGUGAAAUGCAUAGAUACCAUAAAGAACACCGAUAGCGAAGGCAGCUUACUAGGCUGUGACUGACGCUGAGGCACGAAAGCGUGGGGAGCGAACAGGAUUAGAUACCCUGGUAGUCC
rnacentral:rRNA from 1 species